GGGGAUGUAGCUCAGAGGCACAGUUUCUGCCUGGCAAGCACAAGGCCCUGAGUUCGAUUCCCAGUACCA
rnacentral:tRNA from 1 species